GUUCACUCUGAGUCAUUCUGAAGACGGAAGGUGCGUCUUAUAUAGCCUGCUGAGAUGCAGAGCUGACAAGCACACCUGUCUAACAACUAGGAAUAGCAAUCCGCUUGAGUUGUUUUGGGAAAUGUGGUGAGAUUCCAGUUUCCCAAUUUUCGGUAAAGAGACUCACGCUAUGACGCAUUGAAAAACAUGUAUGAGCCUGAGAGUGCGAUAGCUUCUGAUUGGGCGUUGGAGCUGAGAAAUCGGCGAGUUCAAUCUUGAGGCGAGUACGACCGCCUGGCCAAGUGUCAGUAAGUCCUAUGGUUGACCGCUAGAGAAGAGUCAAUAAAUCCUUCGGGUUGACUUCCUUGUUCGCACGUCAAUAAAUCCAUACAGGUUGACCGCAAUGAGCUGAAAAACCUGCCAUGAGCAAAGAGCGAGUUUGGCCGGCUGAAAUGCCUGAGCCAUCAUUUCCGUGCCUUGUGAGAGUUCUUGAAAACCACAUGUGCAGCCGCCAGAGCCAAGAGCCUGCGCCAGAGCCAGAGCGCCAGAGCGCCAGAGCCACCGACUGAGAUUCUAAUGGGUGGAAAUCCUUUUGAUGAAAAUUGAUACACACACAUUCACAGGGUGAAACUCCUUUGUGAAGUCUCAUUGGGUGAAAUUCCUGUAUGAGAGAGAGGCCGCCUAGAAACUGAAGAGCCAAGCUGAAAUGCAAGAGCUACCAGUAUGCUGAGGAGCCAGCUGAGACGCUGAGUUGAGACGCCUAGAGCAAAGAUCUGCAUCGACAGACGCCUGCAAGGACAGAAGAGCCCUACAAGCCCGAGCUGAUACGCCAAUACGCCAAUGAGUGCGAAUGCGAGAGCCGCCGAAGAGCAACAGAUGCCUGAGUCAGAGCCAUCAAGUCCCUUUGGGCAAUAAGUGCCAGAACCAGUGCUACAGACAUGAGCAAAGCGCCAAUAAGCCCACAGUGCAAUAAGUGCCAAACGCCAGCCAUACCAAUUCCGCGAGAAAAGCCAAUAAGUCCUACCAGGCAAUGAGUGCCAAACGCCGCGAGAGAGCCACUAAGUCCUACAAGGCAAUAAGAGCCAUUACGCCUGAGCAAGAGCCAGAGAGUCCACAGAUGCAUUAAGUGCCAAAUGCAAGAGCAGACGAGAGCAUGAGCAAGAGCACGAGCCAAAGUCACACACUAUUCAAGGAGUAGGCAGUGAACCUCUUAGCCAGAGGACGUAACUGACCGAACCUGUUUAUUUAGUUUUGAGAGGAGUAGGUGAAAUUCCGAACCUCUUGGGUGAAUAAAUCAUGGACCAGAGAGUUCCGCCCGAAUAUUUGAGUCGUAGUGAGUUGAAUUGUAGUUAAAGUAGUCCUUCGUAUUUUUAUUGA
rnacentral:misc_RNA from 1 species